ACGGGAGGCAGCAGUGGGGAAUAUUGGGCAAUGGGCGCAAGCCUGACCCAGCAACGCCGCGUGAAGGAAGAAGGCUUUCGGGUUGUAAACUUCUUUUACCAGGGACGAAGGACGUGACGGUACCUGGAGAAAAAGCCACGGCUAACUACGUGCCAGCAGCCGCGGUAAUACGUAGGUGGCAAGCGUUGUCCGGAUUUACUGGGUGUAAAGGGCGUGUAGGCGGAGAUGCAAGUCAGGAGUGAAAUCUAUGGGCUUAACCCAUAAACUGCACUUGAAACUGUUAUUCUUGAGUGUCGGAGAGGUAGAUGGAAUUCCUAGUGUAGCGGUGAAAUGCGUAGAUAUUAGGAGGAACACCAGUGGCGAAGGCGAUCUACUGGACGAUAACUGACGCUGAGGCGCGAAAGCGUGGGGAGCAAACAGGUUUAGAUACCCUGGUA
rnacentral:rRNA from 1 species